rnacentral:hammerhead_ribozyme from 1 species
AUUCAGUUGACGAGUCCCAAAUAGGACGAAACGCGAGUCCUGGAU